rnacentral:rRNA from 1 species
UACGGAGGAUCCAAGCGUUAUCCGGAUUUAUUGGGUUUAAAGGGUGCGUAGGUGGCUUUGUAAGUCAGUGGUGAAAGUUUUCAGCUUAACUGGAAAAUUGCCAUUGAUACUGCAGGGCUUGAGUACAGAUGAGGUAGGCGGAAUUGACGGUGUAGCGGUGAAAUGCAUAGAUAUCGUCAAGAACACCGAUAGCGAAGGCAGCUUACUGGGCUGUAACUGACGCUGAUGCACGAAAGUGUGGGGAUCAAACAGG